GAUUCUGAUUCCGGCGCCAGA
rnacentral:siRNA from 1 species